rnacentral:siRNA from 1 species
CUCGCUUUAGAUGUCCAGUCUU